CGAGUUGGCUAGACAGUUGCCGCGUUCGCAAGAACGGGGAGGAAAGUCCGGGCUUCAAAGAGCAGGGUACCAGGUAACGCCUGGGCGGUGUGAACCGACGACAAGUGCAGCAGAGAGGAGACCGCCUUCUUGAUUUAUCAAGGAGGUAAGGGUGAAAGGGUGCGGUAAGAGCGCACCGUGCGGCUAGUAAUAGUUCGUAGCAAGGUAAACUCUACCCGAAGCAAGACCAAAUAGGGUCCCGUAUGGCGCUGCUCGCGUUGGGACCGGGUAGGUCGCUUGAGCCUGUGAGCGAUUGCAGGCCUAGAUGAAUAACUGUCCACGACAGGACCCGGCUUAUCGGCCAACUCACCUA
rfam:Shewanella pealeana ATCC 700345, complete genome.